rnacentral:lncRNA from 1 species
AAUAGAAUGGAAUGGACUGGAAUGUACUCGAAUGAAAUGGAAUAGAAUGGAAUGGAAUGGAUUAGACUCGAAUGGAAUGGAAUGGAAUGGAAUGUACUAGAAUGAAAUAGAAUAGAAUGGAAUGGAAUGGACUCGAAUGGAAUGGAAUGGACUCGAAUGGAAUGGAAUGGAAAGGUAUUGAAUAGAAUGCAAUGUAAUGGACUCGAAUAUAAUGGAAUGGAAUGGAAUUUAAUGAAGAAGAAUGGACUGGAAUGGACUAGAACGGAAUGGACUCGAAAGGUAUGUAAUGUAAUGGAAUGAAAUGGACUCGAAUUGAAUGGAAACUAAUGGAAUGAAAUGGACUCAAAUUGAAUGGAAUGGAAUGGAAUGGAAUGGAAUGGAAUGGAAUGGAAUGGAACGGAAUGAAAUGGACUCGAACGGAUUGGAAUGGAAUGGAAGAGAAGAGAAGGGAAUGGAAUGGAAUGGAAGGGACUCGAAUUGAAUGGAAAGAAAUGGAAUGAAAUGGACUCAAAUGGAAUGGAAAGGAACGGAAUGAAAAUGACUCAAACAGAUUGGAAUAGAAUGGAAUAGAAUGGAAUGGAAGGGAAGGGAAGGGAAGUGAAGGGAACGGAAUGGAAGGGAAUGGAAUGGAAUGAAAUGGAAUGGAAAGGAAUGGAAUGGAAUGGAAUAGAAUUGAAUGGAGUGGAUUAGUGUGGAAUGGAUCGGAGUACAAUGGAAUGGAAUGGAAUUGAAUGGACUCGAAAGGAAUGGAAUGGAAAGAAUGGAGUCGAAUUGAAUGGAGUCAAUGGACUCGAAUGGAAUGGACUCCCAUGGAAACGAAUGGAAUGGAAUCAACUAGAGUGGAAUUGAAGGGCAUGGAAUGGAAUGCACUCCAAAGGCUCGAAUACAAUGGAAUGGACUCGAAUGGAAUGGAAUUGAAAGGAAACAACUCUAGUGCAAUGGAAUGGAAUGGAAUGGAAAGGAAUAGAUUGGACUCAAAUGGAAUGGAAUGUUAUGGUUUUGAAAGGAAUGUAAAGUAAUG